rnacentral:lncRNA from 1 species
GUCAAUUAUCCAGCAAGCAUAGCCGACUCCUGCAGAAAUCUGAGCCAUCCUACGAGCUAAGAAAGUGCCGGAAAAGAGAAUGACGGUGUAUGGGAUUUUCAACGAAGAAUUCGAGGUCGAGAGAUACGUAAAGGAUCAAGGAACAGAGGAGCAUGUGAGAGAUAAAAGGAGUAUAUGAAAGAUAUUUUUAGAAUAUGCCGAAGGAAAAGGGAAUUUUCUGUGUGAAGUGGUAUCAUAUUUUUUGUUAAAACGUUGAAGAGAGUUAUAUCAGUAUCGUAAAAUGCGAAGGAAAGAUGAUCUCGGAAAAGAUGAAGUAUAUGAAUGCUAGAAAACGUGAAAGAAGUUUUCAGAGUAUAGGAAAAAGAAACGGAGAAAAACGAGGAGAAAGUAAAGUAUCUAACUAUCGAAAAGUAUGGAAGGAAUUUUAAGAAUAUAAAUAGAGCAAAUACGAUCGAACGAACAAGAAGGUUUCGUGUUUUUCUACCGGAAGAAUGUAGGAAAUAACGAAUUAGUUUGUUGUUUGUAUAAAUGUGGCUCGAUAAAAGCUUGCAAAUAUUG